rnacentral:rRNA from 1 species
UUUAUGGAGAGUUUGAUCCUGGCUCAGGACGAACGCUGGCGGCGUGCCUAAUACAUGCAAGUCGAGCGAACAGAAAAGGAGCUUGCUCCUUUGACGUUAGCGGCGGACGGGUGAGUAACACGUGGGCAACCUACCUUAUAGUUUGGGAUAACUCCGGGAAACCGGGGCUAAUACCGAAUAAUCUAUUU